UUGUGUUCUGCAACGGAUUGCCCUCUCACAGAAUGUGGACAUCUAUCCAGUUAACAGCCAUGUCAUUGUGACCUGGUUACCUCCUAUUUGUGCACAUCCACUGGACAGCUUACCUGUAUAUAUGAUUUAAGUUUUAAGCAGGUCUGGAACGUCUUCAAUAUGUUGCAUACAUUUUAAGUCACUUUCGUGUCAAAUAUUUUCACUAUACAUACAUCCUGAAAUCAGCAGCAAGGAUGCUGUGGUCUUUCCAUCUUAUGUGCCAGGACACUGGAUGCUGUGUGUGAGUCUGCUUUUGCAUUACUUUAACCAAACAUUUGUCGUACAAAGUGGAAAAAGCUACAUUUAUUCCUUGAUAUCAUGCAUUCUCUAACAACUUAACACAUGGUAACAUGUUUCAGAUCAUGAAGCCAAAAUUGAGUGAAUUGUAGUUUCUCAAUUCGCUGAGAAGCCCAGGUUUUGGUGAUGGCACUUACAUUGCCAUAUACAGGUUUUGCCUAGAGUGCUAAAAAAGUAUGUUCUACAUUCAGUUCUGUUCUUUUUUUUCCCUUUUUCUAUUUCUCGACAAGAGUUGUCUUGUAGCUGUGGAGUCUUCACACUAAUGGUAGGAGUAAUAGUUAUUUUGGUUCUGCAGAUGUCAUGUCAGAAUUUAGCCCACAUGUGCAGUGAUUAAUACUUCAUUCGCUCUCUAUAUUACCCUGGGUGAAACGUUUGACUUCCCAGAGGUGGGUUUACCAACCAUAUUAAAAUAUAUUCUGUAAGUUUGCAGUUUAUUUGUUUUGAUAAACUUGUGCUUUUCCAAACUAUAGUCAGACAUGCCAAGUAUUAGAAGAUGGUGGUCUGCCCUUUUGCUGGAUCUGAUCCCACCAAGAUCAUUCACGAAAAGCCAGCAAAGAAAAAAGAGGCGAAUCGGGGCUGACAAGAGACAAGACACUGGUAUUGUUUACUUCGUUUGAGGGGCUCCAUUAUUGAUUACAAAUGUUUUUUAUUUGUUUGUUUUCCCCAAAUUACUGCUGUUCUAUUGUCUCUUCCUUGUAGUUGCAGCCAGUGACACACCCCUGAACAUACAGCAGGCAUGUAUUUGCCAUUUUAUUCGAUCUCUAAACUGCAGUUGGAUUAUUAUGUCCACAACUUUUGUUCCUCCACAGCUUCCUCCGCUAGUUUCUCCGAGCAAUCUUGCUGGAAGUUGUGGUUCAUGAUGGUGAUGUU